rnacentral:lncRNA from 1 species
UGAGGGAGGAAGCAGGGGGGAAAGACGACGAAAAUAAGAGGCAGCCAAACAAGACCUUUAGGGCAGACUCGUGGGGUUUAUAUAGACCCCCCUGACGGCCCAGAUCGACGGGGUCGGUUCCCAUCCCCCCGACCGGGUUGCGCCACGUGUCGACCUCGGAAGCCGAGGCACCGUAUUCACUCCGGUUUAAUAAAUCGGAUGCGAAAUCGAAGCGUUGUCCCAUCGGAUCUCGGGGCCUCAUCAUGGGUCCACAGAAUCAAAUCGUCUUGAGGGACGAGCGGACGUAACCUCCGCUCCCCUCGUUUAAUAAGAUCUGGGACACGUGGAGCCCCGAUGAGGCCUCCACUUCUUCGGAAUUAUGAUCCAGUAACAUGAAAUCGAAAGCGUCCGACCUCGGGUCGCGCCGCGUGUCCGUUUCAAACCCCGUAACGGCACACUCAUUAAUGAUCCAGAAACGUCGAUUACGGAAUCGAGACACCGCCUCGACGAGCUCGAGGUCCCCCAUCAUUAAUCCGCCGUAAAAUGAUCCUGGCGAUUCAAGAAGCAUGAUGAUACGAGCUCCAUCAUUAGCUCACCGAAUAAAACAGCCUCGAGACGCCAAAGGGCGCAUAUCUCACCAUAAAAGCUCCGGAAAGCACAAGGGGGCGGGCGAGACCUUCCCCCCAACCUUAGUGACAGACUUUACUUCCCACGUCCGAGC